UUCUCUAGCGAUCGAAUUCCCGAAACAACAAAGGAAGGAAUUUGGAAUCGAAGGAUCUGGAAUCAGAGGAAGGGGUUUGGAAUCGAAUCGGCUAAAAACCUAAAUAGCUUCACCGCCGUUUGUUAUUCUUUCUCCGCGCCGUGUUCUCUAUAAUCUCAGGUGAUAAGGAUCAAAAUGGAGCUCAGUUCAGAAGAUAACAAUCUUGUUUUGCCUCCUGUUGAGCAGGGGUGAGUUUUAAGGAAUAGAGCAAUAGAAGAUCAAGAGAAGGUUUCAAUAACUUGGGAGACUUGCGUCCAAACACGCUUUGACUUUGUGGAUAGGUUCUAUCGCACUUUUUCUCUGUAAAAUCGGAAUCUCAAAAUCUCAUCAAAUUUAUUACGACAGAGGGAGGGAAUGGAAUCUUCCAGCACAUUCGUUGUUCAUUAUAACUUUUCAUACAUUUGUCAACAUAUCGAGUGAUCCACUUGUGUUAAACUCUUUCUAGCAGAUUUACUUCUCCUAGCUUACAAAUACAUUUUUAUUUGCUAAUCAUUGUCUAUAAGCCUUAACAAGAAACCAAGGAUUACGUAACAAC